rnacentral:rRNA from 1 species
AUGAAGUACGUCCUGGUGACCGGCGGCGUGGUGAGCGGCCUCGGGAAGGGGGUGACGGCCAGCAGCAUCGGCGUCGUGCUCAAGGCCUGCGGCCUCCGCAUUACCUCCAUCAAGAUCGAUCCUUACCUUAACACUGAUGCUGGAACCAUGUCUCCUUUUGAACAUGGCGAAGUGUUUGUUCUAGAUGAUGGUGGCGAGGUGGAUUUGGAUCUCGGAAACUAUGAGAGGUUUCUAGACAUUAAGCUGACACGUGACAACAACAUAACUACUGGAAAGAUCUACCAGUCUGUUAUUAAUAAAGAAAGAGAGGGAGAAUACCUGGGAAAGACUGUGCAGGUUGUCCCACACAUUACAAAUGCUAUACAAGAUUGGAUUGAGCGUGUUGCAAUGGUUCCUGUUGAUGGCCAGGAGGGACCUGCCGAUGUCUGUGUUAUAGAACUGGGUGGCACUAUAGGGGAUAUUGAAUCCAUGCCAUUUAUUGAAGCUCUAGGUCAAUUCUCCUAUCGUGUUGGUGCUGGUAAUUUCUGUUUGGUACAUGUCAGUCUGGUUCCGGUAUUGAAUGUUGUCGGUGAGCAGAAAACUAAGCCAACUCAACACAGUGUACGUGGUCUGAGAGGACUUGGUCUCACGCCAAAUAUGCUAGCUUGUCGCAGUACUAAGGAGCUAGAGGAAAAUGUGAAAGAAAAACUCUCCCAGUUUUGUCAUGUGCCGGCUGCUAAUAUUUUCACUCUAUAUGAUGUUUCGAACAUUUGGCAUAUUCCUUUGCUGUUACGGGACCAGAAAGCACACAAUGCUAUUCUUAAAGUUCUGAAUCUUGAAAGCGUUGCCCAGGAGCCGAAGUUGGAUGAAUGGGUGGCAAGGGCUACUUUAUAUGACACCCUACAGGAUGAAGUGAGGAUUGCCAUGGUUGGAAAGUACACUGGUCUGUCUGAUUCGUACCUUUCUGUGUUAAAGGCACUUUUGCAUGCUUCUGUCUCUUGCCACAAAAAACUUGUUGUAGAUUGGGUUGCUUCCACUGAUCUUGAGGAUUCAACUGCUUCUGAGGCGCCUGAUGCUUACAAAGCAGCAUGGACUUUAUUGAAGGGCGCUGAUGGCGUUUUAGUGCCCGGUGGCUUUGGAGACAGAGGUGUUAAAGGGAAAAUGAUGGCUGCUAAGUAUGCCCGUGAAAACAAUGUCCCCUAUCUUGGUAUAUGCCUUGGCAUGCAGCUUGCUGUUGUAGAGUUUGCGCGCCAUGUUAUGAAAUUCCCUGAUGCGGACAGCACAGAAUUUAAUCCCAAUACGAAGACCCCAUGUGUUAUUUUUAUGCCAGAGGGUUCAAAAACACAUAUGGGUGGGACCAUGCGCCUUGGAUCAAGGAGAACAUUUUUCAAGGUUACUGACUGCAAAUCCGCCAAGCUCUAUGGUGAUGUCAACUACGUAGAUGAGAGGCAUCGGCACAGAUAUGAGGUAAAUCCUGAUAUGGUGCCAGCAUUUGAAAAUGCUGGACUUCAGUUUGUUGGCAAGGACGAGACUGGACAGAGAAUGGAGAUCAUUGAAAUACCUGAUCACCGGUUCUUCGUCGGCGUCCAAUUCCAUCCAGAGUUCAAGUCAACGCCUUCAAAACCUUCACCUCCAUUUGUCGGACUAAUCGCCGCAGCGUGUGGGCAGCUGGAUCAGGUGCUGCAGGACAGCUGCAAUGGCCAUGUGGUUGCGGCUAAACACAAGCUCGGUGACAGCUCCUCAACACCCCUAGUACACCAGAACGGGCACGCGCAGAAGCAAGCCAAUGGUGGUGUAGCAAAUGGAACCUGCCAUGCCAACGGCAAUGGCAGUACCCAUGGUUAG